rnacentral:rRNA from 1 species
UGCCCGGUAGCUAAAUGCGGAAGAGAUAAGUGCUGAAAGCAUCUAAGCACGAAACUUGCCCCGAGAUGAGUUCUCCCUGACUCCUUGAGAGUCCUGAAGGAACGUUAAAGACUAUGACGUUGAUAGGUCGGGUGUGUAAGCGUAGCGAUACGUUGAGCUAACCGAUACUAAUGAACCGUGAGGCUUAACCUU